UGCCCCUUGUGUCAGCAAUACCAUCACUCUCAAAGUUUUCAGCCUAUGUGCUAUUAGGUCAAUGUAGGUCCUCUUUUUGGGCAAUUGGAAUGAUGUUUUUUAGUCUUUCAGAUGUUCUUCUUCUUUCUCUGGGCAGAGAAGUAAGGCAGACUUCCUUUGUGUGUUUAUGGUAAGGUUGGAAGGUGCUGUGGGGGUCCCUAUGUGUGGUUGUAAGGAAUAGAUAAUAGCAUUAUUGCUAUUCAUGGAACACAUUUUAUAUUCACAAUUCAAUUGAAGCUAUGGAACAAUCUCAUGGUGUAGGACUCUCACCUUUGCCACUCUACAGAUGACAAACUGAGAGGUAGUGUUGUUAGUAACCUGCUCAAGGGUGCAGGUAACCAUGGUCAGAUUCAGAUUUCAAACCCAAGGGAUUUCAAAUGAGAGUCUAACUCCCAGUCAGAAUGUUUAACAGCACGUUCUACCACCUCCCCUGACUUUGAUUCUAGUGCUAGGGAACUGGCUCAGUGUAAGGGGGCUGGCUACAUGGGUCUGAGCCUAGAUGGGGCACUGAAAAGUAGAGGGAGUUCUACCUGGGAGGUUCAGCAAGGAAUCACCUAGACAGCAUUGUCUGAGCAGAAGGUGAAGUGAGGGAAACCACAAGUUGUCCCCAAGAUAGAAAUAGGGAUGGAAGACUAGGGAAAGAGUCAAAGGUGGGCCAAAACAGAGGAGAAGUGGCUGAGAGGGGAAUUGGGUGGGUCUGGAGGGUUACUAGAUGAAGGGGCGGACUAUUUAGUUAGUAAAGGGACUUUUCCUGUGCUCCCAGUCAAUUCUUGUGAUUUCCUUCCUUGAUGGCUUGGUUGUUGGAUAGUUCAGAAGCUAUUAUUGAGUGAGGGCAGGUAUCUUUUCUGAGUUCUGAUCUAACCCACCUUGCCCGGUACAGUCUGUAAGGCCUCCACAGAGGGUCUUAUCAGCAACUCUGUUUCCUCAGGAGUUAACUCUUUUUUCUUGGGGACUGGCUGGCAGGCCCACUUCUGGAUGUCCCUUAUCUGCUCUUAGGGGGAGCAGUUAUUCCUGACCUUCUCUCUGCAGUGACCCCCUUAUUUGUUCAGGAUGCCAGGAAAAUGGGACAGAUUCAUAAAUGAAAGCACUGCUCUUCUAAAGCUUUUCUCCCCAAAGGUGCAAGAGCCUGAAUGAGAGACCCAAUCCCAUGUAACAGCAAAUUUGACAAUAACUUGGAUGAAAUCAUUGAUGUUUAGCAACCAUUGGAAAGAUCAUAAAACUAGAGUAAGUGUAGAUGGUAAAAUCAGGAACGAAAGGCAGCCUGAGUUUGUGCAAAGGGCUGAACUUCUGAAGCUGACACUUGGAAGGGAGGGUAGAGGGUCCUUGCUGAAUUGGACAGUCAGAUACUCAGGAACACGGUAGUGGAGUAUGAGCUGUGCAGCCUCACCUUUGACAGAAAUCUCACCAUCAGGCAGCCUUGGGAUGUUCUUGCCAAAAAGGCAGACAGAGAUCAAUGCUGACUGUGCUACCAGGUGUGCAUCCUCCACAGUGAGGAACACGGGAGGCUUUUUUUCAGUGUAAAGGAGAUUGAAAAAUGGAAAACCUGUGAGAUUUAUUUAAUUUUUAAGGAAAUUGGUUUAGUGUUUCUAAUUGCAGGGGAAGGGAGGAGAUAAAAUGGUGUUGGCAAUUCCUCUAACUCUACUUUGAGGAGCAAAGGGCCUCUACAAACAGGACAAUUAAAACUAUGUGAUUCACCAAAGGGGAGAGGGAAGGGGAAGCACAAGUUAGGCGAAUGGGACUAACAGAUACCAAGUAUGUUAUGUGAAAUAGAUAAGCAACAAGGGUUUACUGUAUAGCACAGGGAAUUUUACUUAGUAUCUUAUAACAACCUACAAUGGAAUAUCAUCUUAAAAAAAAAUCCAAAAACUGAAUCACUGUGCUGUACACCUGAAACUAACACAAUAUUGUAAAUCAACUACACUUCAAUUAAGAAGAUAUUGUAGGAGUUCCCAUUGUGGCUCAGUGGUAAUGAACCUCACUAGUAUCCAUGAGGAUGUAGGUUCAAUUCCUGGCCUUGCUCACUGGGUUAAGUAUCUGGUGUUGCUGUGAGCUGUGGUGUAGAUUACAGACGUGGCUCGGAUCCUACGUUGCUGUGGCUGUGGUGAGGCUGGCAGCUGUAGCUCUGAGUCUACCCCUAGCCUGGGAACUUCCACGUGCUGCAGCUGCUGCCUGUACCCGUCCCCCCCACCCCGCGCCCCCACCACUGCUGCAAAAGGUAAUAAAUAAAUAAAUAAAAUUGUAUGAUGCAAGGAAUCUAAGCACAUCCUUUAUUUGCAAAGAUGCCAUUUUCCUUUCCCCUUUGGACUUGAGAAGGGCAAAAGACCAUUUUUUUCUCAGUUCCCAACUUGAGAAUUUUUUUUUUUUUUUUUUUUUUUUGUCUUUUUAGAGCUGUACCCGAGGCAUAUAGAAGUUCACAGGCUAGGGGUCGAAUUGGAGCUGUAGCUGCUGGCUUUCUGAGCCGCAUCUGCAACCUACACCACAGCUCAUGGCAGCACUGGAUCUUUAACCCAUUGAGCAAGGCCAGGGAUCAAACCAUCUUCAUGGAUACUUGUCGGAUGGGUUACCGCUGAGGCACAAUGGGAACUCCCCCAACUUGUGAAUUUUUAACUUCCUUCUUUGUGGAGCCCCUGUCUUGCUGGUGAUGUUCAUGGGACAUUUGACCAUGUCAUGCCUGAGCCGUUGUUCUGUUACCAUUACUCUCCCUGUGACUUUGCUCCAUUUUCUCAUAUGCCUCCAACAGGGCAACAGCGAGACAAAGUGAGAACUCGGACAACAAAUGACACACUGGACAGAACCCUAGGUUGCGAAGGAAAUGAACCACCCCUAGCUAACUUCAUCAGGAAGGGACGCAUUGGGAUGAAAGCAGACAGGUCACCAGCCAAUGUCAAGCCUGGAGAGCUAGACCUGGGAGACAGAGAAAGAAGCAAUAUGCUCUUUGGCUUUCCUGCCUGGGCCCUUGACACCUCUAGCACUGGGGGUCAACUUCAAUUACAUUCCUGCUGUUCCUGUGUGAAUACUGCUGCUUAAACUUCUAAAUCUCAAGUAAGGGCAUCAGUUCUGUCAAGUCUGGUUGGCAUCUCACGCUCCAGUUGCCAGCAGAUAGGGAGAGGGUACAUCUGGCUGGUUGCCUCCAGAAAGGGUGGCUGGAUGUGCUUCCUGCCAACCAGCCAUACACAGUAGGGACUGUUCCUGAAUAGAAAGGGAAUACUGGCCUUGGGCAGACAGAUUCGCUUCUUUGAAUCGAUUUUUUUUCUCUGUGUCUCACAGUAGGUCUGAUUCACAACUUGGUCUUGUCUUUUGAUGGCCUAAGAAUCAGAGUUAUCCCAGAGUCCGAGAUGGGGCUAGACCACAGAUAACCAUGUGUUUAUGUGGGCCCAACUCUGAAGACUUGUAGGAUACUAGGGUGUAUCACUCCAGGCCCUUCUUAGAAAAUUGCUUUGCUUUGUCCAACAAGAUCUCUUUGUAUUCCUUUGCCCUUCUCUGUUAGUAGGGCCACCAAAAUUGUACUUUUGCUCACUUUCUCCUCUACUGGUAGCAUGAAGUGCUGGAAGGCUGUAAGAUGUGCUCAACUUAACCCCCAAAGUCUAAAUAUAUCUCCAAUUGUAUUUAUAAACCAUCUGAGAGUUGAGAUCUCAUUAAUCGUUUUAUAUCCCUAAGGAAGCUUUCUCUGGAUUUAUAACUCGUGCUCUCAAGUCUAUUUUAUUGUAUAUAUUUAUUGAAGGCUACCUCCUUUGUGAAAAUAUGGAUGAUAUGUAAAUAAAUGAGUGCAGUAACAGCCAACUAGUAGCUUAUUAGCAGAUUAACUAGCCAAUAGUCUAUAAAUAAAUAAAUGAAAAAAAAUACAAACUUUAUGAAAAAUGUAACUUCAGGCCUUAUCCUGAUCAUAUCCAUCUAAGGUCUUGGCCUUUUUCUAAUAAUAAUUGACUAGUUGUAGAUGACUUGUCAUUCUUGCUUCCUCUUGCUCUGGGAGAUUCAGGUAGAUGGUCUCACUGCCAUGACCUUGCUCCACGCCCAGUUCUUGCCAUGACUAAGUAUGAUUUCCCAGUUUAGAGGCAAACAUUGUGUUCUGUUAUCUAUAGUCAGGCCCUGUGGAGGCAGAAUGCCUCCCGUUAAGAUUCCAUGACUAGUCCCUGCAGCCUACGCAUAUAUUACUCUACAUGGCAGAAGAGACUUCACAUGUGUAAUUAAGGUUACAGAUUUAUUAUUUAUUUAUCUUUUAUUGAGGUAGAGUUGAUUUAUACCAUUGUAUUAGUUUCAGGUGUACAACUUAGUGAUUCAAUUUUUUUUUUUUUUGUCUUUUUAGGGCCACACCCAUAGCAUAUGGAGGUUCCCAGGCUAGGGGUCAAAUUGGAGCUAUAGUUGAUGGCCCACACCACAGCCACAGCAAUGCCAGAUCUGAGCCAUGUUUGCAACUUACACCACAGCUCAUGGUGGAUCCUUAACCCACUGAGCAAGGCCAGAGAUCGAACCUAUAUCCUCAUGGAUACUAGCCAGAUUCCUUUCUGCUGAGCCACAACGGGAACUCCAGUUAUUCAAUAUUUUUAUGGAUUAUACUCAACCUAAAGCUACUAUAAAAUAACAGCUAUAUUUUCCAGUGUUUUCACAGACUUAAAGCUCGGAAGCCUGCCCUGGAUUAUACAGGUGGGCCCACUCUGCUCACAUGAGCCCUCAAAAGCAGAGAACUUUCUCCCACUGGAGACAGAGAUACAGCAGAAUGAAAAGUCAGAAAGAGACCAAGUAUGAGGGCAUUGCUGACUCUGAGAAGUAGAGGCUGAGGGAUAGGGACUGAAGAGAAAUCUCAGCCCCCAGCUGACAGCUAGCCAGGAAAUAGAGAUCUCAGACUUACAACUGCAGUGAGCUGGGUUCUUCUAACAACUUGAACCAGCUUAGAAGCCCAUUUGCAGAGUCUCCUGAUAAGAGUUCAGCCAGCGACACCUUAAUUUUGGCCUGCGAAAUCCAGAGCAGAGAAACCAGCCAUAUUCAUGUGGACUAUGAGAUAAUUAAUUUGCAUUGUCUCUGAAUUUGUGGUAAUUUGUUAUGUUGGCAAUAAUAAUAAUAAUGAAAAAAACAACUAACACAAACGUUGGAUGCUUUUUCUGACAGGGUUUAAAAAACCCGCAAGGCCUUCAGGGAUAGGAGAAAGUUUCUGAGCACAACCUUCCCUGCUAGAGCCAAGUUGAAAUGACUGCUCAGAGUCUCCUUGGGUAGAGACAAAGUGAGUCUGAGGUGACCCUAAGCCAUCUGGAACCUCUUCCUUUUACUCAUCACCAUCAGCUGGAUGGUGUCAAGCUUUCAGUAGUUCAUCAGAAAGAGAGCAGAUGUCUGCUAGUGUUGGACAAUGCACAGAGGUGUCACUCAGAUGGGAAGCAAAUGCUGGUCCUUGGAAAAGAGUGGAAGGAAAUCUUUCUUUUUUUUUUUUUUUUUUUUUUUUUUUGCCUUUUCUUGAGCUGCUCCCUCGGCAUAUGGAGGUUCCCAGGCUAGGGGUCUAAUCAGAGCUAUAGUUGCUGGCUUACACCACAGCCACAGCAACGUGGGAUCCGAGCCGAGUCUGCGACCCACACAACAGCUCAGGGCAACGCCAGAUCCUUAACCCACUGAGCGAGGCCAGGAAUCGAACCCACAACCUCAUGGUUCCUCGUCGGAUUCGUUAACCACUGUGCCACGACAGGAACUCCAAGAGUGGAAGGAAAUCUUCAUGAAUAAAAAUCUGUCUGUGUAGACAGCAUUCCCAAUGUGAUGAAAAUUGGGAAAAUUAAGAUAAAAAAGUUUAAAGGUGGGACACGUUACACAAAGAUGAAAGUGUGAAUAGUAAUAGUGACCAAUGUUGGUUGUGAAGAAGGUUAAGACACCUUUUCACCUGGGGCUCAGCAGCAGUUACAUUACCUGGCACUGAGGUAGCUCCCACAUUCAAGGAUGGACAUCCUGCCUUAAAAGCGGUAACCUAGACUAUCACCUUUAUGAAGUACCUGGAUUAAAAUACUUAGAAGUCAUAAAGUUACUCUUUACAAAGCAUCAAAUGGAUUUUCCUCAUUUUUUUAAUAUGGAUAAUCUGUGGACUGUAUAGUAGCCAUUUCCAUUAAGUAGGCAGCUUGAAAAAAAGGAAAAAAAGAAAGAAAAAGCUUUGAAAACUUUACUUGCAGUAUCUUUUCAUUCUUCUUUGAUGUGUUUGGAGUGAGGAGAAUACAUUAGUGCCUUUUAGCUUGGCAGCCAACUCUCUCAAAUGUAAGUAAAUGGAAAAGAACUGACUAGAGUGUUUACUUCAUUUUCAGAAUUCUAAUGUCAAGGCUGUUUCCUCAAAAGGCAAAAAAAAAAAAAAAAAAA
ensembl:lncRNA